CAUGAUUAGCUAUUUAUAGCUAGGAUUGUAUAGAGGGUAGCAGCAGUCGCCCCAACUCCGAUGAUUAUGUGAGAAUUUAAUUUUCAUGUAAUUGUAAGGUGAGAAACAACGAUUAUGUUGGAAACUUUAAUUUUAUUAAAAAAUUAAGGAACUGU
rnacentral:sRNA from 12 species